AUUGAACGCUGGCGGCAGGCCUAACACAUGCAAGUCGAACGAGUGGCGGACGGGUGAGUAAUGUCUGGGAAACUGCCUGAUGGAGGGGGAUAACUACUGGAAACGGUAGCUAAUACCGCAUACCAUCGGAUGUGCCCAGAUGGGAGUAGCUAGUAGGUGGGGUAAAGGCUCACCGAGGCGACGAUCCCUAGCUGGUCGGAGAGGAUGACCAGCCACACUGGAACUGAGACACGGUCCAGACUCCUACGGGAGGCAGCAGUGGGGAAUAGUGCGCAAUGGGCGCAAGCCUGAUGCAGCCAUGCCGCGUGUGUGAAGAAGUCCUUCGGGUUGUAAAGCACUUUCAGCGGGGAGGCGUUCCUCACACCCGAAGCACCGGCUAACUCCGUGCCAGCAGCCGCGGUACUUC
rnacentral:rRNA from 1 species